rnacentral:tRNA from 1 species
AUAAUUAGUUCAGGUCAAAUGGUUUGCCCUUACCUGAAAAACAAGGGGUCGGCAGUUCGAUUCUGCCUCUGGCCA